AGAGCCCUGCGGUAUUUACGCUAGAGUGCAAAUCUAGAGACGAACCCUAAAGGCGUUCCAGGGCU
rnacentral:tRNA from 1 species